rnacentral:rRNA from 1 species
AGAGUUUGAUCCUGGCUCAGGAUGAACGCUAGCGGCAGGCUUAACACAUGCAAGUCGAGGGGUAACAGGAGUAGCAAUACUUGCUGACGACCGGCGCACGGGUGAGUAACGCGUAUGCAACCUACCUCUAACUGAGGAAUAGCCCGGAGAAAUCCGGAUUAAUACUUCAUAAUAUUUCGAAUUCGCAUGUUUUCGAAAUUAAAGCUUUGGCGGUUAGAGAUGGGCAUGCGUGACAUUAGUUAGUUGGUGAGGUAACGGCUCACCAAGACUGCGAUGUCUAGGGGGUCUGAGAGGAUGGUCCCCCACACUGGUACUGGGACACGGACCAGACUCCUACGGGAGGCAGCAGUGAGGAAUAUUGGGCAAUGGACGCAAGUCUGACCCAGCCAUGCCGCGUGCAGGAUGACUGCCCUAUGGGUUGUAAACUGCUUUUAUUUGGGAAGAAACCCCUGCUCGUGAGCGGGGCUGACGGUACCAAAAGAAUAAGCAUCGGCUAACUCCGUGCCAGCAGCCGCGGUAAUACGGAGGAUGCAAGCGUUAUCCGGAUUUAUUGGGUUUAAAGGGUGCGCAGGCGGGAAAUUAAGUCAGUGGUGAAAUCCUGCAGCUUAACUGUAGAAUUGCCAUUGAAACUGAUUUUCUUGAGUACAGUUGAGGUGGGCGGAAUGUGUAAUGUAGCGGUGAAAUGCUUAGAUAUUACACAGAACACCGAUUGCGUAGGCAGCUCACUAAACUGUUACUGACGCUCAGGCACGAAAGCGUGGGGAGCGAACAGGAUUAGAUACCCUGGUAGUCCACGCCGUAAACUAUGAUCACUCGUUGUUGGCAAUAAACAGUCAGCGACUAAGCUAAAGCAAUAAGUGAUCCACCUGGGGAGUACGGUCGCAAGAUUGAAACUCAAAGGAAUUGACGGGGGCCCGCACAAGCGGAGGAACAUGUGGUUUAAUUCGAUGAUACGCGAGGAACCUUACCUGGGCUUAAAUGCAGAACGAUUUCCGCCGAAAGGUGGUUUCCUUCGGGCGUUUUGCAAGGUGCUGCAUGGUUGUCGUCAGCUCGUGCCGUGAGGUGUCGGGUUAAGUCCCAUAACGAGCGCAACCCUCGCUUUUAGUUGCCAUCAUUUAGUUGGGCACUCUAAAGGAACUGCCCCGGUUAACGGGGAGGAAGGUGGGGAUGACGUCAAGUCCUCAUGGCCUUUAUGCCCAGGGCUACACACGUGCUACAAUGGUCUGUACAAAGGGUAGCCAACUCGCGAGAGUGAGCUAAUCCCAAAAAGCAGGCCUCAGUUCGGAUUGAAGUCUGCAACUCGACUUCAUGAAGUUGGAAUCGCUAGUAAUCCCAUAUCAGCAUGAUGGGGUGAAUACGUUCCCGGGCCUUGUACACACCGCCCGUCACACCACGAAAGUCGGCUGCACCAGAAGUCGUUAUACUAACCUAGCUUUGCAUGGAGGGAGACGCCUAAGGUGUGGUUGGUGAUUGGGGUGAA